rnacentral:rRNA from 1 species
AAGCGGUGGAUCAUGUUGUUUAAUUCGAUGAUACGCGAAGAACCUUACCAGGUCUUGACAUCCCCCGCGAUGCUUUAGAGAUAAAGCGGAGGUAUUCGGGGAGACAGGUGGUGCAUGGUUGUCGUCAGCUCGUGUCGUGAGAUGUUGGGUUAAGUCCCGCAACGAGCGCAACCCUUGUGUUUAGUUGCAAACAGGUCAAGCUGUGCACUCUAGACAGACUGCCGUGGACAACACGGAGGAAGGUGGGGAUGACGUCAAAUCAUCAUGCCCCUUAUGAUCUGGGCUACACACGUGCUACAAUGGCCGGUACAACGGGCAGCGAAGGAGCGAUCCGGAGCGAAUCCUAAAAAGCCGGUCCCAGUUCGGAUUGCAGGCUGAAACUCGCCUACAUGAAGUUGGAGUUGCUAGUAAUCGCGAAUCAGAAUGUCGCGGUGAAUGCGUUCCCGGGUCUU